rnacentral:ncRNA from 1 species
GUUUAAACAGGCUGUCGAGGUUCUCCACAGCAGGCAUGAUGUGGAGCUAAGACGGGAAGCCGGUGACGUUCUCCGUGAACGGAAUCCGGCGCUGCCCCCGCAACUGUAAGCGGUGAGCUGCGGUUCCAUUUUGUGUCACUGAGCCUUCGCAAGAGGCUCGGGAAGGCCGGGACCGACGCAUUGACCCGUGAGCCAGGAGACCUGCCUCCGACGCGAUAAUGUUC